rnacentral:miRNA from 1 species
GGUUGCUUUUUUUCUUUUUU